CUUUCGCUAGGCGGUUCACGAGCGCUGAGGAGGAGCUCUCUUUCCUUUGGCGGCUCUGUCGCCACUCCGUUGCGUCGGCCACUCUCACCGGAAGUGCCCCCUCCUCCUCCCGUACCCGCGACGCAUCCUCGCUUCCACGCCCAUUCUAAUUUCUAUUUCACGCGAGCGGCGCCGUCCAUCCCUCCGAUGCAGUGCCGGCCUUUCGUGCCCAGCGCCUGCCGCUGGGGCAGCAGCGCGCUCUGGCCGUUCGGCGGAAUGCCGACCCGGGUGCCGGUUCGUAAACCGUUACGGUGGCCAUCGAGAGGCUGAUUCGGGCUCACAGAUCAAGCUUGGGACGCGUUCUGACGCCUCUUUGUGUGUGCUGGUGGUCUUUCGGCCGCGUCAAUCCCUGGACAUGGAAACGCCACGCAUUCAAAAAAGAAACAGUUGGUGGAGAUUUGCAGAUAUCCGAAGGGCGAGAUAGUUCAUGGGGAGAUCAUACCGAAAGGUGGGCGUGAUCGGGAGGAAUCAUCUGCGUCUCGGUCAGCCUGUGGCGGGGCGGGCGAUCUUUGGUCUCUUCCAUCCUCUUGACCUUAUCACACGUGCUUUGUCUGAUGGAUACAUCUGCUUGUGUUCUCCGUCCUCCUGGCUCCACUGGCACACUAUUGUGGACCAUGGAUUGUGACGCUCUGCGGCCCAUUAAUUGAACUCUGAAGCCGUUCAAACUUGACAGUAAACUGGGGUGGCGUGUGAGGCUUGGCAAUGGCCCUUGGUUCGGAUGCUUGCGCACGACGGUGACGACGCCUCGCAUGGCGAUGCGGCGACGGCGAGCUUGAGCAGCUGGCGCUGGAGCUAGAGGCAGAGAGGCUGGUGUUGUGCUGGGUGACAUUGCAGGGCGGUCUCUGCCGGGGGCAAGCCGCCGGCGCUACCGCCGGAGGCGAAUAAGCCGCUGCUUGGAUUGUUUUAUUGUGCAGAUACUGGGGUAGACAGGAGCAGGUGAGAAAUAGUCUUUCCACCACGAUGUAGCAUAUCCGACAUUUCUCCCGCGAUUGUUUGUCCGACGCCUUGGCUUGGAGCCA